rnacentral:rRNA from 1 species
GACGUUUCAGAGUUUGAUCCUGGCUCAGAUUGAACGCUGGCGGCAUGCUUUACACAUGCAAGUCGAACGGCAGCGCGGGCUUCGGCCUGGCGGCGAGUGGCGAACGGGUGAGUAAUACAUCGGAACGUGCCCAGUAGUGGGGGAUAGCUCGGCGAAAGCCGGAUUAAUACCGCAUACGACCUGAGGGUGAAAGCGGGGGAUCUUCGGACCUCGCGCUAUUGGAGCGGCCGAUGGCAGAUUAGCUAGUUGGUGGGGUAAAGGCCUACCAAGGCGACGAUCUGUAGCUGGUCUGAGAGGACGACCAGCCACACUGGGACUGAGACACGGCCCAG